rnacentral:misc_RNA from 1 species
AAGUCGUAACAAGGUUUCCGUAGGUGAACCUGCGGAAGGAUCAUUAUUUUAAAAAUAUUAAAAAGUUUUGUGAAUUAAAGGGACUGGGGGGAAAUUGGGGGGAAUGAUGUGUUUUACACAAACUCCCUCCUCUCUCUCCAUCUCUUUUAUUGAAAAUUAUAAUAGUCUUAUUUAAAAAUUUUAAAUUAAACAACUUUUAACAAUGGAUCUCUUGGCUCUU